AUACGUAGGGUGCGAGCGUUGUCCGGAAUUACUGGGCGUAAAGAGCUCGUAGGUGGUUUGUCGCGUCGUCUGUGAAAUUCCGGGGCUUAACUCCGGGCGUGCAGGCGAUACGGGCAUAACUUGAGUACUGUAGGGGAGACUGGAAUUCCUGGUGUAGCGGUGAAAUGCGCAGAUAUCAGGAGGAACACCGGUGGCGAAGGCGGGUCUCUGGGCAGUAACUGACGCUGAGGAGCGAAAGCAUGGGUAGCGAACAGGAUUAGAUACCCUGGUAGUCCAUGCCGUAAACGGUGGGCGCUAGGUGUAGGGGUCUUCCACGACUUCUGUGCCGUAGCUAACGCAUUAAGCGCCCCGCCUGGGGAGUACGGCCGCAAGGCCAAAACUCAAAUGAAUUGACGGGG
rnacentral:rRNA from 1 species